rnacentral:rRNA from 1 species
GACGAACGCUGGCGGCGUGCUUAACACAUGCAAGUCGAGCGGAAAGGCCCUUCGGGUUCCUCGCGCGCCGUACGGGUGAGUAACACGUGAGUAAUCUGCCCUUGUCUUUGUGAUAACUACCGGAAACGGUGACUAAUACCCGAAUCGACAACCAUCUGCUUGGGCUGGUUGUGGAAAGGUUUUUCGCCGAUGGAUGUUCUCGCGUCCUUUCAGCCUGGUGGCGGAGUAUUGGUCUACCAGGACUUCGACGGGUAGCCGACCUGUGAGGGGGGCCGGCCACAAUGGGACCGAGACACGGGCGAGACUCCUACGGGAGGUAGCAGUGGGAAAUGUUGGACAAUGGGCGGAAGCCUGAUCCGGCAACGCCGAGUGAGGGAUGACGGCCAUCGGGUUGUAAGCCUCUUGAAGUACCGACGAAGGGCCGAUGAUGGUGGUGACGGUAGGUACAGAAGAAGCACCGGCCAACUACGUG